rnacentral:rRNA from 2 species
GUGGACGCCAGUCUGCGUGGAGCCGACCUUGAAAUACCACCCUUUAAUGUUUGAUGUUCUAACGUGGACCCGUAAUCCGGGUUGCGGACAGUGUCUGGUGGGUAGUUUGACUGGGGCGGUCUCCUCCUAAAGAGUAACGGAGGAGCACGAAGGUUGGCUAAUCCUGGUCGGACAUCAGGAGGUUAGUGCAAUGGCAUAAGCCAGCUUGACUGCGAGCGUGACGGCGCGAGCAGGUGCGAAAGCAGGUCAUAGUGAUCCGGUGGUUCUGAAUGGAAGGGCCAUCGCUCAACGGAUAAAAGGUACUCCGGGGAUAACAGGCUGAUACCGCCCAAGAGUUCAUAUCGACGGCGGUGUUUGGCACCUCGAUGUCGGCUCAUCACAUCCUGGGGCUGAAGUAGGUCCCAAGGGUAUGGCUGUUCGCCAUUUAAAGUGGUACGCGAGCUGGGUUUAGAACGUCGUGAGACAGUUCGGUCCCUAUCUGCCGUGGGCGCUGGAGAACUGAGGGGGGCUGCUCCUAGUACGAGAGGACCGGAGUGGACGCAUCACUGGUGUUCGGGUUGUCAUGCCAAUGGCACUGCCCGGUAGCUAAAUGCGGAAGAGAUAAGUGCUGAAAGCAUCUAAGCACGAAACUUGCCCCGAGAUGAGUUCUCCCUGAGACUUAGAGUCUCCUGAAGGAACGUUGAAGACGACGACG